rnacentral:rRNA from 1 species
AGUGAACGCUGGCGGUAGGCCUAACACAUGCAAGUCGAACGGCAGCACAGUAAGAGCUUGCUCUUACGGGUGGCGAGUGGCGGACGGGUGAGGAAUACAUCGGAAUCUACUUUUUCGUGGGGGAUAACGUAGGGAAACUUACGCUAAUACCGCAUACGACCUACGGGUGAAAGCAGGGGAUCUUCGGACCUUGCGCGAUUGAAUGAGCCGAUGUCGGAUUAGCUAGUUGGCGGGGUAAAGGCCCACCAAGGCGACGAUCCGUAGCUGGUCUGAGAGGAUGAUCAGCCACACUGGAACUGGGACACGGUCCAGACUCCUACGGGAGGCAGCAGUGGGGAAUGUUGGACAAUGGGCGCAAGCCUGAUCCAGCCAUACCGCGUGGGUGAAGAAGGCCUUCGGGUUGUAAAGCCCUUUUGUUGGGAAAGAAAAGCAGCAGGUUAAUACCCCGCUGUUCUGACGGUACCCAAAGAAUAAGCACCGGCUAACUUCGUG